rnacentral:rRNA from 1 species
UACGAAGGGGGGCUAGCGUUGCUCGGAAUCACUGGGCGUAAAGGGUGCGUAGGCGGGUCUUUUAAGUCAGGGGGUGAAAUCCUGGAGCUCAACUCCAGAACUGCCUUUGAUACUGAGGAUCUUGAGUUCGGGAGAGGUGAGUGGAACUGCGAGUUGUAGAGGUGAAAUUCGUAGAUAUUCGCAAGAACACCAGUGGCGAAGGCGGCUCACUGGCCCGAUACUGACGCUGAGGCACGAAAGCGUGGGGAGCAAACAGGG